rnacentral:rRNA from 1 species
ACCGUGCAAAGGUAGCAUAAUCAUUUGUUCUUUAAAUAAGGACUUGUAUGAAUGGCCCCACGAGGGUUUAACUGUCUCUUACUUCCAAUCAGUGAAAUUGACCUUCCCGUGAAGAGGCGGGAAUAAAAUAAUAAGACGAGAAGACCCUAUGGAGCUUCAAUUAAUUAGCCCAUAAUAACUCACUUAAAUACCAAUAGGCUUAAUAUCACUUUAUUAAUGGGUUAACAAUUUAGGUUGGGGUGACCUCGGAGAACAAAAAAACCUCCGAGUGAUUUAAGCACAGACAAACCAGUCAAAGUACUCUAUCAUUUAUUGAUCCAAUAACUUGAUCAACGGAACAAGUUACCCUAGGGAUAACAGCGCAAUCCUAUUUGAGAGUUCAUAUCAACAAUAGGGUUUACGACCUCGAUGUUGGAUCAGGACAUCCUAAUGGUGCAGCAGCUAUUAAAGGUUCGUUUGUUCAACGAUUAAAGUCCUACGUGAUCUGAGUUCAGACCGG